CAGUAGCCGCGGUAAUACGAAGGGUGCGAGCGUUAAUCGGAAUUACUGGGCGUAAAGCGUGCGUAGGCGGUUUGUUAAGUCUGUUGUGAAAUCCCCGGGCUCAACCUGGGAAUGGCAAUGGAUACUGGCAAGCUAGAGUGUGUCAGAGGAUGGUGGAAUUCCCGGUGUAGCGGUGAAAUGCGUAGAGAUCGGGAGGAACAUCAGUGGCGAAGGCGGCCAUCUGGGACAACACUGACGCUGAGGCACGAAAGCGUGGGGAGCAAACAGGAUUAGAUACCCGCGUAGUCCCUGUCUCUUAUAC
rnacentral:rRNA from 1 species